AUUCUUAAUUAUACAUUAAAGUAAAGUCCUAAUAUCACAGAAAUUGAUCAAAUUCUGUUUUUAAAAUCCAGUGAACAUAGCAUGAACAAACAUUAUGUAGUUUUGGAGGUGCUGUAUAUAAAUUAUGUCGUCGGACUGUACAA